UCAUGUAUCUUCUGCCUAUGUGGUCAGAUUUUUUUUUGUCGUAGACAUUCACAUUCACAUGUUCAAGACCGGAUAAUUUCCUUAAUUAAUAAAAAAGAAAUUCAUUGCAGAGGGGAAGCAAAACACUAGCUCAUACACCAAAUAUAGCUUUCCCGAUUAAAACAAGUGGCCCUUUUUUUUUCUAAAGAUUUUGUUUCCAGCCAAUGCAAAGUAGUUGUUUGUAGCAUAGGAAAAUUACUGAAAGCUUAAAUGUCUACAAAGCCAAAUCAUUAGCAAAGUCCACAGCUGCCGGCCCCAGUCCCCAACUCCCAACCCUUAACUAAAAUCUCCAUAAAUCUAACCC
rnacentral:lncRNA from 1 species